UCGGGAAUUUUGGGCAAUGGGCGAAAGCCUGACCCAGCAACGCCGCGUGAGGGAUGAAGUAUUUCGGUAUGUAAACCUCGAAAGAAUGGGAAGAAUAAAUGACGGUACCAUUUAUAAGCUCCGGCUAACUACGUGCCAGCAGCCGCGGUAAUACGUAGGGAGCAAGCGUUGUUCGGAUUUACUGGGCGUAAAGGGCGCGUAGGCGGCGCGGUAAGUCACUUGUGAAAUCUCUGAGCUUAACUCAGAACGGCCAAGUGAUACUGCUGUGCUAGAGUGCGGAAGAGNCAACCGGCAUUCUUGGUGUAGCGGUGAAAUGCGUAGAUAUCAAGAGGAACACCGGAGGCGAAGGCGGGUUGCUGGGCCGACACUGACGCUGAUGCGCGAAAGCCAGGGG
rnacentral:rRNA from 1 species